UACGUAGGGUCCGAGCGUUGUCCGGAAUUACUGGGCGUAAAGAGCUCGUAGGUGGUUUGUCGCGUUGUUCGUGAAAACUCACAGCUUAACUGUGGGCGUGCGGGCGAUACGGGCAGACUAGAGUACUGCAGGGGAGACUGGAAUUCCUGGUGUAGCGGUGGAAUGCGCAGAUAUCAGGAGGAACACCGGUGGCGAAGGCGGGUCUCUGGGCCGAAAUUGACGCUGAGGAGCGAAAGCGUGGGGAGCAAACAGG
rnacentral:rRNA from 1 species